rnacentral:rRNA from 1 species
GACGAACGCUGGCGGCGUGCUUAACACAUGCAAGUCGAGCGAUGAAGCACCUUCGGGUGUGAAUUAGCGGCGAACGGGUGAGGAACACGUGAAGAAUCUGCCUUCAACUCUGGGAUAACUCCGGGAAACCGGGGCUAAUACCGGAUAUGAGCCUUGAUCGCACGAUCGGGGCUGGAAAGUUUUUCGGUUGAAGAUGACUUCGCGGCGUAUCAGCUUGUUGGUGAGGUAAUGGCUCACCAAGGCGACGUCGGGUAGCCGGCCUGAGAGGGCGACCGGCCACACUGGGACUGAGACACGGCCCAGACUCCUACGGGAGGCAGCAGUGGGGAAUAUUGGGCAAUGGAGGAAACUCUGACCCAGCGACGCCGCGUGAGGGAUGAAGGCCUUCGGGUUGUAAACCUCUUUCAGUAGGGAAGAAGCGAAAGUGACGGUACCUACAGAAGAAGCACCGGCUAACUAUGUGCCAGCAGCCGCGGUAA